rfam:Danaus plexippus plexippus isolate F-2 unplaced genomic scaffold DPSCF300322, whole genome shotgun sequence.
AAAAAGGGUGUUUGCUGCUUUGAUGGCACGUGCGCCAAUAUGGUGUGCGGGGUAUGGUUAUCAAGACAUACCCAACACGUAAUUUUUGUUUUCGUGGGGCAGUUGGGACCGAUAUGUACCGGCGCCUCC